CCUACGGGAGGCAGCAGUGAGGAAUAUUGGUCAAUGGGCGCAAGCCUGAACCAGCCAAGUCGCGUGAGGGAGUAAGGCCCUACGGGUCGUAAACCUCUUUUGCCGGGGAGCAAUGGCCGCGACGAGUGGCGUCCCUGAGAGUACCCGGAGAAAAAGCAUCGGCUAACUCCGUGCCAGCAGCCGCGGUAAUACGGAGGAUGCGAGCGUUAUCCGGAUUUAUUGGGUUUAAAGGGUGCGUAGGCGGACUUUUAAGUCAGGGGUCAAAAUUAGGGGCUCAACCCCGUCCCGCCGUUGAAACUGGGGGCCUUGAGUGGGCGAGAAGAAGGCGGAAUGCGUGGUGUAGCGGUGAAAUGCAUAGAUAUCACGCAGAACCCCGAUUGCGAAGGCAGCCUGCCGGCUUCCUACUGACGCUGAGGCACGAAAGUGCGGGGAUCGAACAGGAUUAGAUACCCUAGUAGUC
rnacentral:rRNA from 1 species